GUUCUCUGCUUGCACUCAUUGCAUGGCUGCCAAAUGCUUCCUUCUGUCACAGAAGCAGCGAUGGCACAAAAGGUGAAAACAGAGAGAGAAAUGACCCAGAAUCACUUUUCUUGGCAGCAAGAGUGGCAAAGCUUACCCUGAGUUUGUCCUGACCUACCUAGAGGAACUAAAUGAAAGAGAGGAGGUGACCCAGACAGAAAACCGUAUUCACCAUGGGGCCUGGUCUGCAGCUCAUCAGGAGAUAGACAGCAGCUCAGCAGAAGAGGUCACAGUAUUAAGCCAGAGGCAGGUUCUGCAAAAAAAAAUAAAAAUAUGUCAGCAACCCCAAUCAGAAACAACUUUCAGGACC